rnacentral:rRNA from 1 species
UGGGGGAUAUUGCGCAAUGGGGGCAACCCUGACGCAGCAACGCCGCGUGAAGGAUGAAGGUUUUCGGAUUGUAAACUUCUUUUAUUAAGGACGAAUAAUGACGGUACUUAAUGAAUAAGCUCCGGCUAACUACGUGCCAGCAGCCGCGGUAAUACGUAGGGAGCAAGCGUUGUCCGGAUUUACUGGGUGUAAAGGGUGCGUAGGCGGCUAAGCAAGUCAGAUGUGAAAUCUAUGGGCUCAACCCAUAAACUGCAUUUGAAACUGCAUAGCUUGAGUGAAGUAGAGGCAGGCGGAAUUCCCCGUGUAGCGGUGAAAUGCGUAGAGAUGGGGAGGAACACCAGUGGCGAAGGCGGCCUGCUGGGCUUUAACUGACGCUGAGGCACGAAAGCGUGGGUAGCAAACAGGAUUAGAUACCCUGGUAGU